rnacentral:lncRNA from 1 species
GGGUGUUUCAAAGACCCUUUUAGAUUAUUUUAGCCUUGUUAUACUGUAUGAAUUUGAUACUAAUAUAAAAAUGACUUUAUCCAUAUAAAUAACAAUAAUAAAACAUUGUAAAGUUUAAUCAUCAUUACUGUUUUUAUUUCAUAUCAUCUUUUUUGCUCCUUAUAGUUGCCACAAGUUGCAGGAAUCAAUGCUGAGUUCUGCGAGCAGCUUCAGAAAUUACAGAGGUGUCCUGAACUGGUGUGUGGUAAUGCUGGUGAGUCUGAUACAGUCACAAACCUGGUGGACUGCAUGCUCGGACUUGCCUACUCAUUCUUCUAGUUAAACGGUGUCCCAGAUAUCAGUGUGGGUUGUAAACAUUCCCUCUCGCUCAAAGGUGCUGCCAAAGAUUACUAAUCAUUUGUAUUGCCUCUCAUGUUUGGCAGUUACAGAGAAAAGGAGCUUGAAUAUUAUGUUAUGAUUUAUAAGAAGCCAACUUGUCGCUCAGACGUCAAUUGUCAGAUCAUUGGAUAAUUUAAAUGUGUGGUGUUUCUGAGAGUAUACUGUGUUCAUACGCAGUCACAUGGAAAAGUUUGGCUUUCUGUCUGAAAUGAAGUAGAAGCAUUAGACCUAAUGAAGCCUAAAUAUAUCUCCUUUUGGACUUUGGAAUAUAUUUGGACUUUGAACUCUCAAACUACUUAAAGGCAUAGUUAAAUCAAAAAGAUCAAAUCUGCUGAAAAUUUACUCACCCUUAGGUCAUCCAAGCUGUAGAUGAGUUAGUUUCCUCAUUGGAACAGAUUUGGAGAAUUUUAGCAUUACAUCACUUGCUCACCAGUGGAUACUCUGCAGUGAAUGGGUGCCGUCAGAAUGAGAGUCCAAACAACUGAUAAAAACACCACAAUAAUCAACUCAACUCCAAUCCAUAGAUUAACAUCUUGUGAAAAAGUGAAAAACUCCUUUGUAAGAAACAAAUCCAUCAUUAAGACUCCUGUGUGAAAGCACAGUCCGUGCUGCUUCUGUACCACACAUGGGCUACAUACGCACUGCAAACAGAGUAUGUGUGAACCUCACAUACAGCUCACAAAAUCAGGCUUACGCUGUGUAAGCUAUUGUGCAACAAUUACACGAUUGUAAAAACAAAUACAGUGCAUGAUCAAACAUUUAGGUGAGAUAAAUAUAUAUUUUUGAAAAAUGACAAAAAAAAUGCCCUUGCUCCACCCAUCAAAUGAAAAAAAAAAUAGACUCACAAAGUCACCUAAGAGAGGAAUUAAUUUUCAAAAAU